AUUGAACGCUGGCGGCAGGCCUAACACAUGCAAGUCGAACGAGUGGCGGACGGGUGAGUAAUGUCGGGGAAACUGCCUGAUGGAGGGGGAUAACUACUGGAAACGGGAGCUAAUACCGCAUACCAUCGGAGGUUGCCAGAUGGGAUUAGCCAGUAGGUGGGGUAAAGGUUACCCUAGGCGACGAUCCCUAGCCGGUCUGACAGGAUGACCAGGCACACUGUAACAGAGACACGGUCCAGACUCCUACGGUCGGCAGCAGUGGGGAAGAUUGCACAAUGGGCCAAAGCCUGAUGCAGCCAUGCCGCGUGUAUGAAGAAGGCCUGCGGGCUGUAAAGUUCUUUCAGCGGGGAGGCGUUACCCGCAGAAGAAGCACCGGCUAACUCCGUGCCAGCAGCCGCGGUAAUAC
rnacentral:rRNA from 1 species